UCGGACUGCAGCGCAGGAAGCGCUCAGGUAGAUCAAGGAUGAAUGACCAGGCCAGGAUGGCAGCUCGACAGGACGUUGAGUAAGGUCAACCAGAAAACCCGCUUCGGCGGGUUUUUU
rfam:Pseudomonas sp. HPB0071 genomic scaffold aczIi-supercont1.1, whole genome shotgun sequence.